rnacentral:rRNA from 1 species
ACAUGCAAGUCCAGCGAAGAGAUGGGAGCUUGCUCCCUGAUCUUAGCGGCGGACGGGUGAGUAACACGUGGGCAACCUGCCCUGCAGACUGGGAUAACUCCGGGAAACCGGAGCUAAUACCGGGUAAUACAUCGCACCGCAUGGUGCAAUGUUGAAAGUUGGCUUUCUGAGCUAACACUGCAGGAUGGGCCCGCGGCGCAUUAGCUAGUUGGUAAGGUAAUGGCUUACCAAGGCGACGAUGCGUAGCCGACCUGAGAGGGUGAUCGGCCACACUGGGACUGAGACACGGCCCAGACUCCUACGGGAGGCAGCAGUAGGGAAUCUUCCGCAAUGGACGAAAGUCUGACGGAGCAACGCCGCGUGAGUGACGAAGGCCUUCGGGUCGUAAAGCUCUGUUGUUAGGGAAGAACAAGUACCGUUCGAAUAGGGCGGUACCUUGACGGUACCUAACCAGAAAGCCACGGCUAACUACGUGCCAGCAGCCGCGGUAAUACNUAUGUGGCAAGCGUUGUCCGGAAUUAUUGGGCGUAAAGCGCGCGC